rnacentral:rRNA from 1 species
UACCAGCACCCCGAGUGGUCGGGACGAUUAUUGGGCCUAAAGCAUCCGUAGCCGGUCCUGCAAGUCUUCCGUUAAAUCCAGCUGCUCAACAGAUGGGCUGCGGGGGAUACUACAGGGCUAGGAGGCGGGAGAGGCAAGCGGUACUUUAUGGGUAGGGGUAAAAUCCGUUGAUCCAUAGAAGACCACCAGUGGCGAAGGCGGUUGCCUGGGGCUUUGCUGACGCUGAUGCGCGAAAGCGUGGGGAGCGAUCCGG